UGAUGUUGUAACCUGCUGUCGGGAAUGCAUGAAAUGAUUGAAAACUGUUUACCUUCAAUGCGAUGCAGUCGCUUUGGAUAAAGGGACCUGCCAAAUGCAUAAAUGUAAAGAAUCACAUGGAUUUUGCAUAUUGCAGCUCGGGGAAAAUCUGCCCUGUGGAGAACCGUGACAGCCCAAGGAUGUGUUCUGAAGGCCUUCAGACAAUUUGGAGAGAAAAAAAGUGCUAAAACCACUGUAAACUCCUCAAACCAGCUCUCCAGAGAGUAGCCAUGAAAAACAUCAGUAGAAGAACAUCUCAGGGUGACAUCCCUGUGGACCUCAGAGUAAGGAAUGACCAUAAAGAGACCCCCGUGUUUCACCCCCAUGUCCUGAUGGAGAGAGGUCAGAGGUCAUGAGGAGCAUGGAUAUGUCCAUUCCCAAAGGGGCUGAAGGGUAAUGGAAUGGCAGAUUCAGGCCAAACAGAGCAAUUUGUGCUUGUCCCAUCUGAACCUGGAAGAAAAGAGAAAGACAUGAAUUUGACCGAGCUUUCCCACAUCAAGUGCAUUCAAAUGAGCCACAGUGACAUAGGGGCUGCUGGGAUGUAUUGAUGCCCAGGUGACAAAGCUGAUCCUGGGGGGAUAGAGAGAUAGAUCCGCUUUAUCUGCUCUCCCCUCCAGCGCCACUAACCACAAUCAGAGCCACCGUGAGCUGCUUCAACUCUGGAAGAGCAAUGAGACCCUGGAGACCAACCAAGCUAUCGCUUUGAUCUGAGAAAGAGAGAGAGAGAGACAGAGA